rnacentral:rRNA from 1 species
UACGUAGGGUGCGAGCGUUAAUCGGAAUUACUGGGCGUAAAGCGUGCGCAGGCGGUUCGUUAAGUUCGAUGUGAAAGCCCCGGGCUCAACCUGGGAAUUGCAUUGGAAACUGGCGGGCUUGAGUGUGGCAGAGGGGGGUGGAAUUCCACGUGUAGCAGUGAAAUGCGUAGAGAUGUGGAGGAACACCGAUGGCGAAGGCAGCCCCCUGGGCUGAGAUUGACGCUCAGGCACGAAAGCGUGGGGAGCAAACAGG